GUGUGGUCAGAGCGCACUUAAGCGACGAUCAGUAGCUGGUCUGAGAGGAUGAUCAGCCACAUUGGGACUGAGACACGGCCCAGACUCUUACGGGAGGCAGCAGUGGGGAAUUUUCCGCAAUGGGCGAAAGCCUGACGGAGCAAUGCCGCGUGAGGGAGGAAGGCUCUUGGGUUGUAAACCUCUUUUCUCAGGGAAGAAUGAUGACGGUACCUGAGGAAUAAGCAUCGGCUAACUCCGUGCCAGCAGCCGCGGUAAUACGGAGGAUGCAAGCGUUAUCCGGAAUGAUUGGGCGUAAAGCGUCCGCAGGUGGCAAUGUAAGUCUGCUGUCAAAGCGUCUGGCUCAACCAGAUAAAGGCAGUGGAAACUACAUAGCUAGAGUAAGGUAGGGGUAGAGGGAAUUCCUGGUGUAGCGGUGAAAUGCGUAGAGAUCAGGAAGAACACCGGUGGCGAAAGCGCUCUGCUGGACCUUAACUGACACUGAGGGACGAAAGCUAGGGGAGCGAAUGGGAUUAGAUACCCCAGUAGUCCUAGCCGUAAACGAUGGAUACUAGGCGUUGCCCGUAUCGACCCGCGCAGUGUCGUAGUAAUUGCUUUAAGAUCACGCGUGGGGAGUACGCAGGCAACUUUGAAACUCAAAGGAAUUGACGGGGGCCCGCACAAAGCGGUGGAGUAUGUGGCUUAAUUCGAUGCAACGCGAAGAACCUUAUCAGGGCUUGACAUGUCCGGAAUCAUCUUGAAAGGGAGGAGUGCCUUCGGGAGCCGGAACACAGGAGGUGCAUGGCUGUCGUCAGCUCGUGUCGUGAGAUGUUGGGUUAAGUCCCGCAACGAGCGCAACCCUCGUUCUUAGUUGCCAUCAUUAAGUUGGGAACUCUAAGGAGACUGCCGGUGACAAACCGGAGGAAGGUGGGGAUGACGUCAAGUCAGCAUGCCCCUUACGCCCUGGGCUACACACGUACUACAAUGCUAUGGACAAAGGGCAGCAAGCCAGCGAUGGCAAGCAAAUCUCGUAAACCAUGGCUCAGUUCAGAUCGCAGGCUGCAACUCGCUUGCGUGAAGUCGGAAUCGCUAGUAAUUGCAGGUCAGCAUACUGCAGUGAAUUCGUUCCCGGGCCUUGCACUCACCGCCCGUC
rnacentral:rRNA from 1 species